AUUCUGCCCAUGCGGGGAAGGAUGAGAAGCUUCGACUAAGGUUCGGCUCGAGCGUCAGCGAGAGAGCGUUGCCGCAGGCAACGACCCGAAGGGCGAAGCGCG
rnacentral:sRNA from 1 species